CUUGCAUCUUCAUCGACUGAGAUAAGUACUUCUGAGUUCGACUGAGAUUUCAUUGAAUAUAUGCUUUUGAUAAUAAUUAACUUAAUGGCAAAUGAGUGCAUCCUGAAAAAGGGGCUACAGUAGGAUAGAUAAAAGCAAAUAAAUAAAAUAAAUGUAUCACCAUGACAUGAAGCUCCAGCUGAGAAUGCCCAUGCUAAUUGCCAAAACCUUCUAUUUAUUUUUCUCAGUUCCACUAUCUAGCACAGGUUUGGACCCAAAGUUCUAAGGCAUUUAUAUAUAACAAUCUGCCAAUCUGAAUAUAUUGCCAAUAUUGACGCUACUGUCUGACGAUGUGCAUGGAAAAUGAUGUCGGCAUAUUUUUUGUUUCUUUUUUCUUUUCCGCUCUAAAAAUCCCAACUCCCCAGUGUUAUCAAUCAACAAAAUUACUCUUUUAAGUAACAAUUGAAUUUAUUAGCCAGAAAUGCAUAAAUACAAAGAUUAAUAAUCGUAUAGGUUAUUGAGAAAUGUAACAUAAAUCAAUUUAUCACUUGGAGUGAACAGAGUAAAAAAUUUACAGCAGUUGUGAUCCACGUACAAUAUUGGCAUUUGUAGUUGAACUAAGUAAGCUUUCGCCAGAGAUAACCUUUAGAAGCUGACAAGUACUUCACUUUUGGGAACACAAAACCAGCCCUUGGAGGGUUUCCAUCCACAAGCGAAUUCUCAUAAAUUUCUUUGCACUCUUGUAUAACCUCUUUUGCAUCCUUUCUUGGUAUGCCUUCACGCAGUCCCACAAGCUUCUCAACCACUUCAGGGGGACAGUCAGGUUGAUGUUCAAGAAUAUUUGUAUAUAUGAGUGUAAAGGUAUCCAAGCUCUCUGCUGACGCAAGUUCUCUUAAAUCGCUCAGUAUCCUCACUCUACUUUCUACUUUAGAGACACUUAUGUAUUCCCUGAAAAAAUCCAUAAUAACCUCUUCGUCCAGCCUCAUUCGUUCUAUAGUCUCUUCCUUGAUGUAGUUUCUCUGUGUCAGAAGAUGAUCAAUGUAAACCACAACGGUCUCCUCCAGGCAAGCUUCAACAAAUCUCCUGAACGAUCUUUCUUCAAUGUACCUUAAAAACCAAAAAUUAAAACCAAUAAGAGAUAAUGAUUCUGGUUCAAACCAGACACACAAGAAUAAGGAAGCUAUAUUUGGACAAUGUACUCUUCAACAAAAGUAAUUUAGAUGGUCAUUGGUAAGAAAUCCUGCCAGUCACAAUUAAACAUUUAUGGAGGCACAGAAGUGGAUGUUUUGGGUUUCAAGAUAACAACUUAAAGAUAAGAGGAAGAUUUAAUUGCAUUGUUACAAGCCUAUACGGGUUAAAUUGAGCAGGAAGUGAUAUUAAUCAAACAUUUGUCUGAUUAACUAUCUAAUGAUAGAGGCUGAAAGUGCAAUAUAUCAUGACAAAACUCAUAAUUUCCUAAUAUCUUCAGCAUUUCCCUUCAGUUACAUUUAUUUAUGGACUUUAAGCCGCAAAUCAUGGAUUAACUUGUUCACUUUCACUCCAGAAAGCAGCAUUUUCCCUUGGUACAAGCACAGACGAUGCUGGUCACACUGCAUGAAAAGGUCAUAAGGAAUACCAAUAGAAUGAACAAGAGGAUUUAGGGGUUGCAUCAUGUGUCCGACAAUAAAAUGACAACUUUGCAAGUGGGCUCCACCGAGCUAAAUUGGCUCUGAAAAUAUAAGAAUGCAACCUAUCCUGUAAAUUGGUCAUGGAUAUAAAAAGAGUAGCUUAAAAAGCUCAAGAACUAGUUUCAAAUGCUAAUUAAUUUACCCUUCUAAACUAAGGGGGCAGAAGAAUAGUUGCUGACAGAAGGGAUGGCCCAAAAUCAAAAGAAAUUGAACUUACAUCUUCACAUCUGUAAAAUAGUCGCCAAAUGUUGCAACUAAGUACUCUGUGACUUGUCCUUCACA
rnacentral:misc_RNA from 1 species